UCAGUUUCACGUUGAAAUCAAACGGGAGCGAAGAAAAUCAGCACAGACAUGUCUCAAGUGUUUGGGUUCUAUAUCCUUAUUAUUUCUGUUUUGUGCAUGUCGGGAUGGUUGAUUCCAACUACGGAGGCAUGUACCACCUGGAUGAAUUGUAAACAUCCCUUGGCGAAAAUAUUAUGCCCGAAUUACUGCAAAGCACGAAACGGAAAAUAAAUCCAGCUGUGCAACAGUUUGCAUGAAUUCUGCACCGAUGACUUCAAUAUUGAGUGAUGCAGUUAUUAUUACAUUGGUAACCAUGGUGAACAGAAAAUAAAGAAAACAAAAAUUUUCCUGAGUC